CUCUUUUAAUCUUGAAAGGAAAAAAAUCCAUAUCUAAAAAAGCAAUCACAAAGAAGAGGAAAACUGUCACAAAGUCACCUGCUGUGCCGGAAUUUCAGCUUAUUUGCACUAAUCUUGAUGAACUCAGGGAAUUAAUCACAAAAAUCGAGAAUGAACUCAAAGAUCUGGAAAACAGUAGAAAAAAAUCGGGCAAAUGGUACCAUCGGAGGCAAGCUGUAAAAGAAUUACAUAGUACACUAAUACGCCUUUUAAAUGAAUUGCUACCAUGGGAACCAAAGUUAAUGAAGGCUUUUCAGAGAAAC
rnacentral:lncRNA from 1 species